rnacentral:misc_RNA from 1 species
GAAAUGCGAUAAGUAAUGUGAAUUGCAGAAUUCAGUGAAUCAUCUAAUCUUUGAACGCACCUUGCGCUCCUUGGUAUUCCUUGGAGCAUGCCUGUUUGAGUAUCAUGAAAUCUUCAAAGUAAAUCUUUUGUUAACUCAAUUGGUUUCUACUUUGGUAUUGGAGGUCUUUGCAGCUUCACACCUGCUCCUCUUUGUUCAUUAGCUGGAUCUCAGUGUUAUGCUUGGUUCCACUCGGCGUGAUAAGUUAUCUAUCGCUGAGGACACUGUAAAAGGUGGCCAAGGUAAAUGCAGAUGAACCGCUCCUAAUAGUCCAUUGACUUGGACAAUACUUUUAUGAUCUGAUCUCAAAUCAGGUAGGACUACCCGCUGAACUUAAGC